rnacentral:tRNA from 1 species
GCCUUCGUGGUGUAUUGGUAAAAGCACACUCGGCGAGAAUUCGAGAGGUUCGUGGUUCGAGUCCUGGCGAGGGUA